GUUAGGGAAUGUCUAGAGAAAUGCCUCCGGCAAUUCAGUAUUUACUGCUCUUCAGAGGUCCUGGGUUUGGUUCCCAGCAUCCACAAGGCAGCUCACCACAGCUGUAACUACAGUUGCAGUGGAGCCAAACCCCUCUUCUGGCCUGUUUGGACACCUGGCACUCAUGUGGUGAACACACAGGAAUCCACAAAAACACGCAAAAGUAAAAUAAUUACUUUUUUUUAAAGUAAUGGCAGCCACGCUAUGUUGACACACACCUUUAAUCCCAGCACUCAGGAGGCAGAGGCAGGUGGAUGGAUAUCUGUUGAGUUUGAGACCAGCCUAGUUAGUCUACAGAGCAAGUUCCAGGACAGACUCCAAAACUACACAGAGAAACCCUGUCUGGAAAAAAAAAAAGAAGAAGAAAGAAAAAGGGGAGAAAAAGUAAUGACAACAAAAGCAAAUUGUGUUUUGUAUGAAGAAUUUCACAGGGUUGUACAUUCUGGCUGGAUAAGGGCAGAGAGGAAAUGAAACAACAGAAGGUUUUAAAAGAUAAAGUACUUUAAAUUCCAAACACCAAAUGACAUUGAGAAGUUCACAAAGCCUGCUGGAUGUCUGACCGCCUGCUAGCCUUUUCAGCGAGGACUCCACAGGAACGAGGGUGGAGUCCCCCCCCCAAAAAAAACAAAAAGCAAAUAGUUGGUCACAGAAAAGGAUCCUUUGAAAUCUGUGCACGCAGGACGAAACAUCCAAAGAACUUUAGAGCUCUUUAAGCCGCAACCAGAGCCACGCUCCGGAAACGAGCAGGAUUAAACUAUACAAGGCCCGGAAGUAUUCACCCGGUUAACUCCUUAUCUAGGUGCGUGCUGCUGCCUGGAUUCACCCUCCCCAUUCCGGGGACCGCAGGAGGAGGUCCGAGUGCGAGAUGCCUGAACUCUUGACCCUAGUCUACACCACAGUCUCCCAAGACCUCGGUAGACGGACCCGGCGUGACCCCCGACCUCAGCCCAGGCUUUCGCGGUAGCCCCGCCCCCGCCCGGUCGCCCACCCCACCCAACGUGCGCGCCAGGCGGGGGUGGGGGGGAGGGGCCCGCGCGUGCGCGGCUGGAGGCGGAGUGAUCCGGCGGCGCGCACGGCCUGGGGGGGUUCCCGCCAGAACCCAAAACCAGAGACCGGGUCGCGGGACUCGCGAGUCCGCGUCCGCGCCCGCCGGCGCCCUCACGUCAACAGGCCGCAAAAGGCUGAGGAAGAAAGGGUUCGAGAGCGCCAAGCCUCGGUCUCUCCCCCAAGUGGACUGUGGCGGGCACACGCCCGGGCUGUUCGUCUCAUGCACCCUUUCCUCUUCCUCUCCCCUGAGGGGAGGCAGGUUGGUGGGCGGGCAGAAGCGCACCUGGGUCCGUCCUCUCGGGGUUUGUUCGCUCACGCACGCGUGCGCAGAAGGGCAGGAGGGCGAGGAAGACGCGCGGAGACCAGAGGCCACCCGGCCUGACACCCUCCCCCCGCCCCCCGCUCGGGUCUCUAUGGGCGCGCGCAGGGCCGCAGCUAGAGCCGCCCCCGUGCUCGCACCGCUCCUGGUCCCGCCACGGAGAUGCGAUCAGUAAGUUGCAGGAAAAGGAGACGCUACUCCCAGCGACCCCGCCGCCGCCGCCGCCGCUCCCGAGGCCUCACCAAAAUGGCCGCCGCCUUCUCGGCCGCCACCGCCACUACCACCACUACCACCACCAAGGCUCGUUAUCGCUACCGCCGGAGCGGCCCGUCUUCUCGCGAUACACAAUUGCUGGAAUUACAGGCAUGUGCCACCAUGCUGUGAUGGUGUUACAACUGAAUCAAGGGAUUUGUGCAUUUUUAGGGUUUCUCCGAAACCUGGCACUCGCUCUGGAACCAGGCUGGCCUCGAACUCACAGAGAUCUGCCUGCCUCUGCCUCCCGAGUGCUGGGUUUAAAGGCAUGCGCCACCAACGCCUGGCAGAAACCCAUCUUGAAAACACAAAAUGAGUAAGUAAAUGAAGAAGAAGAAGAAGAAGAAGAAGAAGAAGAAGAAGAAGAAGAAGAAGAAGAAGAAGAAGAAGAAGAAGAAGAAGAAUUUAACUUUCCUUGGCUGCAGGGGAAUCCAGCCUCUAAGGAUUGAGCCCCUUUCUCUUCACCCAGGGGAAAUUUUUUAAAAAAGAUUUUAUCUAUUAUGUACAACAUUCUGCUUCCAUGUAUAUCUGCACACCAGAAGAGGGCACCAGAUCUCAUAAUGGAUGGUUGCGAGCCACCAUGUGGUUGUUGGGAAUUGAACGAAGGACCUCUGAAAGAGCAG
ensembl:lncRNA